GGCCUACCAUGGUGGUAACGGGUAACGGGGUGUUAGGGCACGACACCGGAGAGGGAGCCUGAGAAACGGCUACCACAUCCAAGGAUGGCAGCAGGCGCGCAAAUUACCCAAUCCCGACACGGGGAGGUAGUGACAAUAAAUAACAAUACGGGGUUCUUUCGGAUCUCGUAAUUGGAAUGAGUACAAUUUAAAUCUCUUAACGAGGAACAAUUGGAGGGCAAGUCUGGUGCCAGCAGCCGCGGUAAUUCCAGCUCCAAUAGCGUAUAUUAAAGUUGUUGCAGUUAAAAAGCUCGUAGUUGAAUUUCGGGGUUAGUAGGUUGGUCAUGCCUCUGGUAUGUACUGGUCUCACUGAUUCCUCCUUCCUUAUGAACCGUAAUGCCAUUAAUUUGGUGUUGCGGGGAAUUUGGACUGUUACUUUGAAAAAAUUAGAGUGUUUAAAGCAGGCUAACGCUUGAAUACAUUAGCAUGGAAUAAUGAAAUAGGACGUUCGAUCUUAUUUUGUUGGUUUCUAGGAUUGACGUAAUGAUUAAUAGGGAUAGUUGGGGGCAUUAGUAUUCAAUUGUCAGAGGUGAAAUUCUUGGAUUUAUUGAAGACUAACUACUGCGAAAGCAUUUGCCAAGGAUGUUUUCAUUAAUCAAGAACGAAAGUUAGGGGAUCGAAGACGAUCAGAUACCGUCGUAGUCUUAACCAUAAACUAUGCCGACUAGGGAUCGGAUGAUGUUAAUUUUUUAAUGACUCAUUCGGCGCCUUACGG
rnacentral:rRNA from 1 species